rnacentral:rRNA from 1 species
AUAGCCUUGUGUGAACGUAAUAUGAGGUGAUUUCUGCCCGGUGAGCAAUUAAACGGCCGCGGUAGCCUGACCGUGCUAAGGUAGCGCAAUCAUGUGCCCUUUAAUUGGGGGAUAGUAUGAAUGAAUUUACGGAGGCAGACUGUCUCAUAUCUAUAUGUUGAAACUUAUCUUCUGGUGCAAAAGCCAGGAUUUUAAAAUAAGACAGAAAGACCCUAGAAGCUUGGCUGGUAUUCUUAAAUUCCAAGGAUUAACGUUUAGUUGGGGCGACGGAAGAUAAUAAACGUAUUUUAACUAUUAAGAGCGACAGUUCAUUGUAAUUAGCCAUAAGCAUAAGAGUAAGUUACUCUAGGGAUAACAGGCUAGUUUCCCCCGAGAGAGCAUAUUAACGGGGAAGUUCAGCACCUCGAUGUUGGCUUAGGAUCCCUUUAAGGUGCAGGAGCUUUAAAAGGUGGUUUGUUCAACCAUUAAAUUCCUACAUGAUCUGA